UUACAGACGAGGAAACUGAGGCU
rnacentral:piRNA from 1 species